UGUUGAUGGAAGCCACAAUGACACAAAUCUUCGAAUUUUCCAAACAAAAGGCCUUCCGAAGAUAUCUCCAACGGAAAAGAAGUUUUCAAACGGCGCAAGCUCCACAACCACCAUCCGCAACAAUGAAUCAGUGAUCUCACUCGGAACAUCCGCUUCACUCGGAGAACGGCUAAGCUCGUCGAAUUUGCCGCAGGAAUACGCGGAGACACCACAGAAAAAAACUUCAAUCUUCCGAAGAAUCGCGAAAAUCAUGAGCUCCGACGACGUGAUCUAUUCAAUGACCGCCACAAACAGUAGAUCUCCGAUUCUUGAAGAAGGCGUCGGGAGAGAAGAUAGUGGGCUGAUUGAAUUUCGCUCAGAAUCACCAUCUUGUUCUUCAAAUCAGUUCAGUUUUCUGAGAAGGCUCAAAAGCACCAUUACCCAUGCAGAUAGAUUUUACAUCUGCACCUCGACGAAUGGCCAGCCUCUGGCAGUUUUCUCGUAUAUCUCGCCGAACAGCGACUACGUGGAUCCGCUGGCGCCGAUUUUCGCCAACACAACCGUCAAUAAGAAGAAAUUCCGAUCGAAAUCGAUUUUUGGAAGCUCGGAUCGCAUGCGGCAUCAGGCUCACUUAUCAACAGAAGAGCUGCGGCCAUUUGUCUUCCGAGACGCUGAAGAUCAAGUAAUUCUGGGGCAGAUUCGCCGAAAGCGGAAUCCUUCGCCGUUUUUCACGCUGUUCGACAAGUCGCCCGCCUCGAUUUCCAGGAAAGAGCGGAGGGAAAGCUUCCGAAACGGCGAAACCUCGGAGGAAAUGUUUGCGGAAACCAUCGAAGUUCCACAAGCCGUAAAUCGAGAUUCAAGCUAUGAACGUGGAACUUCAAUCGAUGAAAAAUGCGAUUUAGACGCCAGCCGAUCAGAUGAACCAUCAUCAGAAGUCAUCGAUGAGUACGAUCCGAUCGCAUUUUCCGAGUUGGGAAUCGGAAAACGGACUGUAAUCCGUCACGAGUGUUGCGUGGCAAGCACACUUCAUUGUGAAUCGGCGGAGAGGGCGAAACAAGUGAUAAAUGAGGAUUUCGAGGCGAAAUACCCAAUGAUUCAUCUGACAUUGAGCAAAAUGAAGAGUUUGAAGCGAGAAAUGGCAGAACUUGGGGUCUCGAAUGGAAUUGAUGUGUAUACGGUGGCAACUGCUUAUGUGUACUUUGAGAAAAUUAUUCUUAAGGGUCUAAUCUCAAAAGUCAAUCGAAAAUGUGUCGCCGGAGCCGCUCUCCUCGUCGCCCUUAAAAUGAAUGAUUACAAGAAGUCUACGAUCAAAUCGUACAUCGAACAGGCCGAAGAUCAGCUCCGCGAGCCGAAAUCCGAUCUUUUGGCUUAUGAGCUUCCAAUUUGCUCGGUGCUCCAGUUCAGGCUUCAGCCAACAAUUGAUGAGAUUCAACCACAUGUAGAUAGAUUGCAAUUUGAGAUGUGA
rnacentral:misc_RNA from 1 species